UUACUAUCUAUGUCCACAAGAUGGUAGACACGACCAGGAAGAGCCUGCAGGAGACUGGCUGUCAGCCUCCAGGCUGGCAGACCGGUGUGGUCUCUGGAUUCUGUAGCAUGGUUAGUAGGCAAAGGCUGUGAGAGUAGGAGUCCAUGAUAGCUCUUCCUGUGAGCAGGCAAAAGGAUCAGAUGAGAGGACAAUGAAGAAGCUGGGAGGCAGUCAUGGGAAGGGGCGGAAGGAGAUAAACAAAUGUGAACAAAAUGUCUGGAGAGAGGAGAUAAGGUUGUUUUGAUAAAGAGUUGAGGCACAGAAGACAAACUGCAGAGACAAGAAGCAUGUCAGAGGAACUGGAACACCAGGAGAGACGACUGCUAGGACAGAUUCCAGCUUACUGGAUCUUAAAGGAGGAGCAGAGACAGAAGAAACAGAAUGAGCCAAGUUCACAGCCAGUUAUUAGCAGUACUUCUGAUGGGUUGGAGCAGAGCUUCAUGGAAAAGGGUUCUUGCUCUGGUGACGAUAACUACAGACAUGAAGGACAGAGACACAACUUUGAGACAUACUGGAACUUUGGGAACAAGACUGAUGAGCAAAGUUCCGAGUCAAAACGCCAGGAGGAACAUGAAGAACUGGAAAUGAGGUGUGAGACCUCCUUUCAACAUUUCUUGUAAGGCAGGUCUAAUGGUGAUGAACUCUCUGCUUUUAUUUGUCUGGGAAAGCCUUCUUUUUCCUUCAUAUCUGAAAGUCUAGAUAUUUCAGCUUUCAUCAAAAACCAACACUGAAGAACCGUGAAAGAAACUGGCAACUUCCACCCACUGAUGCUACAGAGAGAAACACGCAGGCGUGGUCUCAGUAAAAGUAGCCACACGUGGAAAGCAAUAGCACCUAGGAUAUUUAACUCUGAAAGAAAUUUACAACAUACAUAGCAGAAACAUCACAUAUGUAUUGGCUAUGUCUGUGCACAUAAUGUGUGCUUGUCUGUGUGGAGGUACACGCUGGUACACGUAUAUGUUCUAUUUCAUUUGUACGAUGGGAAAUCCUUCUAACUGUGCAAAUCAGAGAGUCAGUCUGCUAAGCAGUAUGGGAAGGUAGCGAGAAUACUCUACCUUCUUUGCUGGAGAUCAGACCCAAAAGAGAUGUGCUUGUUCUACUUUAGGAAACAAAUACCAGCUACUGUGUUUCAGUCCCUGCUAAUUUUCUGUCUCCUAACUGCUGCCUCACGACUCUAUCUGCUGCUGAACUUGACCUCUGAGCCCAGCCUGCUCUUCAUCUUUGCUAGAUUUUUUCCAUGUUUUAUAAGCAGGCUUUACCUUGUUUUCUCUCAUUCAUACAUGGUCUUAUUCUCUUCCCCAUUUGGCUUUCAUUUCCUUAGCAUUUUGUCCCUGUGCAUCCGGGAUUUGGCAUUUUUAUUGUAACAGCGAACUGAUUUUGUGUUGAAGAAAUAAAGGGUAUAUUUAGGGAAUACUCUUAAAAGUGGAAUUGAUUUGUCAUACAGUAGGUAACUCUAUGUUUAGCUCAUUGGAGGAACCACUAAACUGUUUUUCAGACAACUAUGCCAUUUCACAUUCCCCUAGCAGUAUAUGAGGGCUCCAAUUUCUCCAUAUCCUCACUAACACUUGUUUGUGUCUGACUUUUUGAUUCUAGCCAUCAUAAGGGGUGUAAAUUGGUAUUUCAUUGUGGUUUGGAUUCAAAUUUCCCUGAUGGCUAAUAAUGUUGAAUAUCUUUUUGUGUGCUUAUUGGAAAUUUGUAUAUCUUUUCAAAGAAAUGUCUAUUCCGAUGCUUUGCCCAUUUUUAAAUUAGUUUAUUUGCUUUUUUAUUAUUGUGAUGUAAGAACAUGUGUAUUUACAUGUUCUGAAUACAAGUUGUUUCUCAGAUAUGUGAUUUGCAAAUAUUGUCUCUCAUUUUGUGUUUUGCGUUUUCGCUUUCUUGGUGGUGUCCUUUGGAGCACAAAAGUUUUUAAUUUCGAUGAAGUCCAACUUACCUGUUGUUUUUCUUUCAUCACUGUGGUUUUCGUGUUGUUUCUAAGAAAGCUUUGCCUAACUCAAGAUCACAAAGAUUUACUCCUUAGAGUAAGAUUUCUUCAAAACUUUGAUCCAUUUGGAGUCAAUUUUUGUUUAUAGUGUUAGGUAGAGUUUCAAUUUUUGGUCUUUCACAUGUGGAUAUCCAGUUGUUCUGGCACUAUUUGUUGAAAAGAAGUGGAUUUCAAUUCAACUGAAUUGUCUCAGCACUCUAGCACCAAUAUAGUUUUAAUAAUAGCAGGAUAUAUUCAUUAGAGCUAGCAAAAAAGUAUUCUUGACCUGCACAGUGACAUCAAGUCCCUAAUUCCUUUCUUCUCUUUCAAUUAUUAUCGCUAUGAACCUAGGACUUUCAAAACCAGAAUGCAAAUUGCUUUAUCAAUAAAUACUUUUGGAAUGAAGCUCUCAAGUAAAGAACAAAAAACUUCACUGGCCUUUUAAAUUUUCUCUUUGCUCUUGAAUCCAAAAUGAAGGCAGUCUCUCAUUUAGCAGCUUGUUAAGUAGUCUAAUGCAUAAACACUUAAGUGUUUGAUUGUAUAACAUCAUCUCUAUGAUUUAGUUCCAUUAUGUCCACAUCAACUGAAUGCAGAAUAAAUGUGAUGAAUGUCUUCUCAGAUGUUCAGCUUUAACAAAUGGGACUCAUUUCUCGCUACUACUGAAGCCACCAUUGCUUGAUACGGUUCAUGUAUUAUGUUCCAUUUGUGGCACAUGAACAACAUCUAUUUGCAGAGAUUCACCCAUAACCAUGAGAAAUAUCGUGAACUAUAGUUCAGUGUAUCAAGUUGUUUUCUUCAGGAUCUUUUGGCCAACUUACGUAUAACUCUUUUCCAAAUAAAAAUAUUUGUUGUUUUUGGAAUUACUGUUGGGGUUAAUGAAUAUCCUUUUUGGCAUCACUGAGACAAUAAGUGUUAGAGUACAAAUUAAAAUUGUAUUCCCUGGGGAUUUUUAUUCUUUGGAUCAAUAGGUAAAAGAAAAGAUGUCUAAAAACAAGCCAAUUGAAAAAUUAUUCAACUCUUAAAAGAAAACAUAGGGUAAAAGCUUCAUGACAUUGGAUACGGCAAUGAUUUCUUGGGUAUGACUCCAAAAGCACAGGCAACAAAAAGAAAAAUAGAUAAAUCAGACAUUGUCAAAAUUAAACACUUUUAUGCAUCAAAGGACACUAUCCACAGAGUGAAAAGGAAACCCACAGGAAGGGAUAAAAUGUUUAAUUCAGUAUUAAUAGCUACCUAAUUAGAUAUUAAUAUCCAGGAUAUAUAAAGAACUCCUACAACUCAACAAAAACAAUAGCAAUGCAGUAACCAAAACAAUAAGCAAUCCAAAUAAAAAAUGGGCAAAGGAUCUGAAUAGAUAUUUCUCCCAAGAAGAUAUACAAAUGACUAAUAAGCACAGGAAAGGAUGCUCAACAUUGUUAACUAUUAGGGAAGUGCAAAUCAAAAUCACACUGAGAUAACACUUCACACCAUUACAAUGGCUAUUAUAAGAAAACACACACACACAAAAUAACAUGUUGGUAAGGAGUGGAGAAAUUGGAACCUUUAUGUGUUGCCAGUGGAAAUGUAAAAUGGUAUGUCCCCUGUGGAAAGAGCUAUGACACUUCCUCAAAAAAUUAAACAUAGGGGCUGGCCCUAUGGUAUAGUGGUUAAGUUUGGCACACUCUGCUUUGGUGGCCCGGGUUCACAGAUUAAGAUCCCCGGCACAGACCUACACCACUUGUCGGCCAUGCUGUGGUGGUGACCCAUGUAUAAAGUGGAGAAAGAAGGGCAUGGAUGUUAGCUCAGGGCUAAUCUUCCUCCAGAAAAAUAAAUAAAUAAGUAAAUAAACAUAGAAUUACCCCAUGAUUCAGCAAUUCCACUUCUGGGUAGGUACCCCAAAGAGUUGAAAGCAGAGACUCAAACAGAUAUUUACAUACUCACAUUCAUAGCACCACUAUUCACAGUAGCCAAAAUGUGAAAGCAACCCACAUGUCCAUCAACAGAUGAAUGGAUAAACAAAAUGUGGUAUAUACAUACAGUGGAAUAUUAUUCAGCCUUAAAAAGGACUGAAAUUCUGACACAUGCUACAACAUGGAUAAAACUCGAAGACAUUUUAUGCUAAGUGAAAUAAGCCAAUUACAAAAGGACAAAUAUCGUAUGAGUCUACUUAUAUGAUGUACCUGGAAUAGUCAAAUUCCUAGUGACAGAAAGUAGAACUGUGGCUACCAGAGGCUGAGGGGAGGGGGAAUGAGGAGUUAUUGUUGAACACGUGCAGAGUUGCAGUCUGGUAUGAUGAAAAGGUUCCAGAGAUGGAUGGUGAUGAUGGUUGCACAACGAUGUGAAUGUUCUUAAUGCCUUUCUC
ensembl:lncRNA